rnacentral:rRNA from 1 species
AUUGAACGCUGGCGGCAGGCCUAACACAUGCAAGUCGAACGAGUGGCGGACGGGUGAGUAAUGUCUGGGAAACUGCCUGAUGGAGGGGGAUAACUACUGGAAACGGUAGCUAAUACCGCAUACCAUCGGAUGUGCCCAGAUGGGAUUAGCUAGUGGGUGGGGUAACGGCUAACAUAGGCGACGAUCCCUAGCUGGUCUGAGAGGAUGACCAGCCACACUGGAACGGCGACACGGUCCAGACUCCUACGGAAGGAAGCAGUGGGAAAUAUUGCACAAUGGGCGCAAGCCUGAUGUAGCCAUGCCGCGUGUAUGAAGAGGGCCUUCGGGUUGUAAAGUACUUUCAGCGGGGAGGCGUUACCCGCAGAAGAAGCACCGGCUAACUCCGUGCCAGCCGCCGCGGUAAUAC